rnacentral:rRNA from 1 species
UGGGGAAUUUUGGACAAUGGGGGAAACCCUGAUCCAGCCAUCCCGCGUGUGCGAUGAAGGCCUUCGGGUUGUAAAGCACUUUUGGCAGGAAAGAAACGUCAUGGGUUAAUACCCCGUGAAACUGACGGUACCUGCAGAAUAAGCACCGGCUAACUACGUGCCAGCAGCCGCGGUAAUACGUAGGGUGCAAGCGGUAAUCGGAAUUACUGGGCGUAAAGCGUGCGCCGGCGGAUCGGAAAGAAAGAUGUGAAAUCCCAGAGCUCAACUUUAGAACUGCAUUUGUAACUACCGGGCUAGAGUGUGUCAGAGGGAGGUGGAAUUCCGCGUGUAGCAGUGAAAUGCGUAGAUAUGCGGAGGAACACCGAUGGCGAAGGCAGCCUCCUGGGAUAACGCUGACGCUCAUGCACGAAAGCGUGGGGAGCAAACAGG